rnacentral:lncRNA from 1 species
CUAUAUGAAGUAAAAUACUUAUUAAAAAUUAUAAGAAGGUUCCAUGAAUCAAGGGUCGAGAUCAUGUGACUAGACCCAUAAGACAAGGAAAUAACCCAAACUUUGAGGUUCUUUUUUUAUUUUUGUUUUCAGUCUCUUUCUUUCCACUUUUCUACCUCUCUUUCUUUCAGAAUUAUCCAAAUCACACUUUGUGUUCAACUCAAAAUCAAGAGUGAGAGAGAGAGAGAGACAUAUCUUUCUGUGCACAAUUUCAUGGUAGAUUUCUGAAGCUUCUUCUUUUCUCGUCUGCGUGUGACAAAAUCCACAACAGAAAGUGCAAUGAUAGGUUUCAGAGAAAGAGAAAGGACAAGAGAGAAGAGACUUUCUUUAACAAGAGCUUCAAUUUUGUUGUUGUGGAUCUUCUUAGUUUUUGCUCUAUUAUUAACAUUGUUUUAUUCCAUCAACAACGAAACCAACAACAACAACAACAAGAACCAUUCAUUUAGGUUACUCAGACAACAGCAGCAACAGCAACAACAACGUAGUUUCAACAAAGCAAUAUUGUUUCAUGCAACUUCAAAAUCAAGAACAAGAACAAGAACUACCGAUCUUGAUGAUCAAGCUGGUCCUCCGGAGAAAUCACUUUAUGGUAACGAGAAAAGAUUAAUUCACACCGGUCCAAACCCACUUCACAACUAGAGCUGUAGCUAUAGCUAUAGCUAUAUCUAUAUAUGCAUGGUAGGGGUUUUUUAACUUUGUAUGUUAGCUAGUUUUAAUUUAAGUGCAUAUGAUGUAUUGCAAUAUCUCUCUAUGUUUGUUUUUAUGUUAUUAUUUUGGAUCUGAGAAGAAUGAGAGCAUAGCCUUAGCCUUUUCAGUAGGGAAAGAAAAUAUGAAGAGGCUAGCGUUAAUGCUCUCUUUUCUUUUGCAGUUAUGAAUUUCUUUCUUUCUUUUUUUCUUCUUUCAAAUCAAAUCAGAGAGAGUGUAUGAAUUAAUUGAAAAAUCAUAUUUAAUUUAAUAUUUCUCAUUCACUCAUCUUCUUCUUC